ACUGUUCAGUGAUGAGGUCAUGGAAUAAGCACUGGGCACAGUGCCUGAUCUCCAGUGAGGAAUAAUUCCAUGCUGCCUUCCUUCUGAGAACUCU